UCUCUCUCUCUCUCUCUCUCUACACCCACUAGAUUCUUGUUUAUUUGCUGUCUCUCUGAUGAUGAAGGACUUCAUUGACGCAGAGUCAAUUACUUUUCUUUUUUCUACUUGACUGACUUGCAAACAUACCAAGUCAUCUCUCUCUCUCUCUCUCUCCACCCACUAGAUUCUUGUUUAUUUGGUGUCUCUCUGAUGAUGAAGGACCCAGCUAGGUACUACAAAUAAGGGGUUCAUGGGCGAAUCAUCUCUGAUUCACAAACCCCAACUAAGAAGAAAGAUGGCUCAGCUUCACAAGGCUCUUUUCAUUCUUUGCAUCCUAAUGUUCUCAACUGUUACCAUCCCACCAUCGGCGGUGGCUGCUCGUGCACUUGCUGAGAUUUCUCAAACCAAUCAAGAGCAGCGAGGCACACAUGUAGGUUAUGGAUCUCUCGGUAGUUUGGGGCCCACCUGCAACGGAAAACGUAACAAGAAUUGCCCGCCUCAUUCCGUAUCAUCUCCUUGAAGGAUGAAAUAUAUGUUAGCUUGGGCUUCCCUAUAAAUUAGUAAAUAAAUAUGGUAUUAUAAAUAAGUGGUGAAUGAGGAGAAAGGGCUGUUGAGGUUCUUGUUGGGGUUACAUGCAAAAGCAACAGAUCUCACAUCUACCAUGAAUAGCUCGGUGUGAAGACUUAUAAUGACUUUCAGUGUGCUUUUAAGAAUACAUAGCAGUUCUUACUUGUGUUGUGAGCCAAUAAAUUUGUAUUCAGAUAAAUUAAGAUGUUUGAUCUAUCAUAAUAUAUAUAUUCUGUGUUGAUCCA